GCCAGACUCCUACGGGAGGCAGCAGUGGGGAAUAUUGCACAAUGGGGGAAACCCUGAUGCAGCAACGCCGCGUGAGUGAGGAAGUAUUUCGGUAUGUAAAGCUCUAUCAGCAGGGAAUAGAAAAGAAGGUACCUGAAAAAGAAGCCCCGGCUAACUACGUGCCAGCAGCCGCGGUAAUACGUAGGGGGCAAGCGUUAUCCGGAUUUACUGGGUGUAAAGGGAGCGUAGACGGCGAUGCAAGUCUGAAGUGAAAGGCGGGGGCCCAACCCCCGGACUGCUUUGGAAACUGUAUAGCUGGAGUGCAGGAGAGGUAAGUGGAAUUCCUAGUGUAGCGGUGAAAUGCGUAGAUAUCAGGAGGAACACCGGUGGCGAAGGCGGCCUGCUGGACUGCGACUGACGUUGAGGCCCGAAAGCGUGGGGAGCAAACAGGAUUAGAUACCCGAGUAAAC
rnacentral:rRNA from 1 species